rnacentral:rRNA from 1 species
GAUGAACGCUGGCGGCGUGCUUAAUACAUGCAAGUCGAACGAAGAGUGUAGCAAUACGCUCUUAGUGGCGAAUGGGUGCGUAACGCGUUGGUGACCUGCCCCGAAGAGGGGGAUAACAGUUCGAAAGGACUGCUAAUACCCCAUGUGGUCAUAGAAGUUAGAGGUUCUAUGUCUAAAGGAGUAAUCCACUUCGGGAGGGGCCUGCGUCCCAUCAGCUCGUUGGUAGGGUAACGGCCUACCAAGGCUACGACGGGUAGGGGACCUGAGAGGGUGACCCCCCACACUGGCACUGAAAUACGGGCCAGACACCUACGGGUGGCAG